UGGGCUGUAGCUCAGUGGCAGAGCGCUUGCCUAGCAUGUAUGAGGCAUUGGUUUCUAUCGUCAGCACCACAU
rnacentral:tRNA from 1 species